AGCUUUUUGUUUUUACAAAAAGUAACUCCUGCUCAGUGAACUUUAACAGCCGCAGAAUUUAUACUGUGCUAAGGUAGCAUAAUCACUUGUCUUUUAAUUAAAGAAUAGAAUGAACGGAAAAACGAAUUUAAACCUGUUUCAUUUUUUUGUAAUAAAAUUACCAAAAAGUAAAAACACUUUUUUUUAAAAAAAAGACGAUAAGACCCUAAAGAACUUCACUUAAGUUAAGCUGGGGCGGCUUUUUUAAAAAAAUCUUAUUAUAAAUUUUUCACUCCUUUAUUAAUUUCACAACGUUACCUUAGGGAUAACAGCAUAAUUUAAUUUAAUAGCUCUUAUUUAAAAUUAAGAUUAUGACCUCGAUGUUGAAUUAAAAAUCUUUUAAACGUAAAAAAUUAAAAAGAAAGUCUGUUCGACU
rnacentral:rRNA from 1 species